GCCUCGGUGGUGUAGUGGUAGUAGCACGUGUCUCCUGUAUGGAUGGAACACGGGCUCAAUUCCCGCCCGAGGUC